CCACACUGUUACCAUUGUGACUGAGAAGGGAAUUACUGGCAAACCAUUGUUUGAACCCUAUAAAACCUGCUAAAUGAGCUCACUAAGAGACCUUCUACUGCACCCAUAACUAAAGAUUCAUAUUGUACAUUACAGCUUUUCCAUGGCAGGCAAGCAACAAGGGGUGAAAUUAUGCAGAAACUACAUUGUCCAUUGUCUCUGAAAGAGUUUCCAUUACGGCUGGAAUACACUGACCUGUGACCACUCUGUUCUGUGCAGUCUAAGGUGGUGGAGAAAAAGGAAUCUGCCUUCAAAAUCUGGAAAAGCCAGUGUGAGAGGCAGGAAAAAUGGAGUAGGUUGGGUGAACAAGAUGUGCUCCUAGAAUCACGUAGGAGAGACCAUGAAACAAGUACACAGAAAAUGUGAAAGAGGUGACAUGAAGUUACAACUUUCUGCAGGAAGGGGUAUUCUUAAGGUGUUGGAGAGAUUCUAUACCACCUGAGAACCUGCCCCAGAAGAAGGAAAUUAAGCCAGAGGUGUCACUGCUGAAAAGCCAACUAUAUUUGUUGAUUGAUUUUUUUAAAAUCAUUUUUUAUAAUAGGUUUUAUUGUUAUUAUUUGCUUUUGAUCUUUAAUCAAGAUGCUCUUUAGAUAGCUUAGAUAAGGUGCUUUUUUCAUAAAAACUACUUUUUCUGUUGCCUGAAAUUAAGAAUGUAGAGCAUCAGUUCAUCCACAGUGGUUUGGGGUUUUAUUUUUCAGGUAAUGAAUGCUAGCAUUUAUCACAAUUGGCUCUGGUUUAAAUAGGCUUUUACCUGUAGAUUUCUUUAUAUAGGUUGGCUUUUGACCUAGGUCUAACAAGACAAUGCCUACCAGGAAAGAAACACUUAUGGAAGCAAAAAGCACUGGUGCUGAGCCCUUUGUUGUUUUCUGGCAAAAGCUCAGAUACUAAUUUACAGGCUACAAGCCAGUCUAUGAAAAAUUGGAAUGAUAAUUUUUUUUUUUAAUGAAACAGCAGCUGGAACUGACAUCUUUCUGCACAAUAGCUUUAAUUUAGCUUCCUAAGGUAUUGCACCUGAAAAUGCAAAAGAGGAGACAUCAUCAUCAAUAAACUGGUGAAAAAUAUCCAAUUCAGAUAGUUUUUUAAUUCCCCAAAGUACUCAGUGUUAUGUGCCUAUUGAUAUCUGCCGGCCCUCCACAUACACACCUUUCUUGGAGUACAAGAUUCUCGUGUGGUUUGAUUUUCCCUUUCGGGAAGGAGCAAUAGUGUUCCAGCACCUCAGCAGGUGACUCUGAGAGCUGUGGGGUGUGGUUACCUGUGUGUAACCUGGCAGAGGGACCAGGGUGACACCAACCAGGGGCUCCCCAGGCAGGGACCUGGGGAUGCUCUGGGAUCCACUCUGGUUCCUGGGCUGCCCAUAACACAAAACAGAGAAACUUCACUGCUGCUGGCAGAAAUCUCUUGUUUGCCUCACACAAUCUGCCCAGCUUCUGCUGGAAUGUGUGGAAGGGUGUGUGGUGGCUGUGCCUGCUCCUUUCCUUUCCCAUCAUUGUAUUCUUAGAGCUCCCAAGAAUUUCAUCACAAUGAGCGAUAACUUUGCUAAGCUCUUUAUAAACCCAGAGUUCAUCCCUGCUCAUCUUAAUUUACAGUCAAGGUUUGUACUCCUCUGCACCAUUGCAUUGGGCACAGUGUGUUUUGUAAUUCUGAUUCUUUUACUGUAUUGAUCCCUCCCUUCAAAACUAAUUAUUUUUUAAAAUGUAUUUAUUUUUAAAUUUUUCUUGCUUUCUGGUAGAUAAUGUGAACAAACAUCAGCAUCCAUCAGCAUUAGCAGUUCUUCAAUUGAAUUUAAACAUGAUCUACAAAAUGCCUUGGCUCUUGGGAUAGGACCAGAUAUUAUUACUCCCAAAGUAUAAUUUUCACAUCCAUCUGUUCCUUCACUUUCCUGAAUUUUCUUUAUCCGUUUUCCCACAAAGGUGGCUUUGCCAAUGGCCUUUUACACAGCUUGACAUUGGUGUCAGCCUUUCCACUUGCCUAAAGCAGCUUUUGUUCUGGAUCCCAACACAAGACAAUGAUGUAUCUUGAGAGGAAUAUUUAAGGUGACAUUUGUAAUUUUGGUGGAAGUUUUAAUGCAACCUGCUUAGCACUGUGAGUUCUGAAAUACAAAAGAGCAAUGUCAUACUAGUUCUGAGCCUGUGUAUAUACAGUCUUAUGCUAAAUCAAUUCUAUCCAGCAUUCCUGUGUAUGCAGUACAAGCUCAUAAUGAACUCUGAAAAUUAUUUAAGUAACUCUGUUUCUGACCAGAAAUCACAUUAAUAGGGUAAAUGUUGUUUGAGUUACAGUUUUUUUGCUGUCCCUCCACCUCAUUUUCCUCUAGAAUAAACCUUCCUGCUUCAAAAUUAGACACAUUUAAAGAUUGCUCUUCAUUAGCAGCUAGGCUCAGUGUCUGUGUUCCAUGCACUUAGAUCUGGAGCAGUCACAUUGACUCCAGUACAUACUUAUGUGGGAGCUCUUUGUUGUCAUUCUAGGAAAUUCCUAAUGAUGAAAAACUGUUUUAAUACUAUAUUUUUUAUUAUUAGAUAGCCUGAGGGUUAGUCUAGGAAGUCAGUGUCCUGGAUAUAGCUUUGAAAUUCAAGAGAAUUGCAUGCAGGAAAUUAGAGAAAUACAUGAAAAUCAGCCUUCUCUUAUGAUUUUUCAAGCAGUAGCUGAAUACAAAUUAAGGUAUGGAUGCCCUUAUUCUGAGCUUCUCUUGAAGCAGCCUCUAAAUUUUUCUGCCUCAAAGUUGAAGUAAACUCUUCUUUCUUUUUAAACUCCCCAGUAUUUUUAAGCACUGAUCUACUUUAUUAUAAUGAUUUUAAGUUUAGUAAAAAGUACCUGAUUUCUUUGGCUUCUGUGAGUACUCCCAAGAAUGUUCCAUCUAAGUAAAUGUUUGACCUGCCAGUGUUGGUAAAAAAAAAAAAUCUCUUAUUAUUUAGUGGAAAGGAUCAACAGAUAUGUUUCCCAUUGCUUCAUUUGUUUCAGUGUGAUAGUUUGCAGAACGAUGUUAUAAAUGUAGGCAGCAAUGAAUAUAUUUGACUUGCAGCUCCAGUCUUAGGAAAAGGAAACAGAUUUUUGUUCAACAAGAGCAAUUAUUUCUGGCAUAAUAUAGACUCCAGUAAAUGAGAGUGGUGACAGACAGAUUGGAAAAUAAUUGGAAUAUUUACCCCAAAUGCAAAGAGGGGGUCUGGGUCAAGUGAGAGAUUUUCCAUUUCACAGAAUGUGCCUUCAGAGGCUACUGUGAGUUGGUUAUGUUGGAACUCAGUGCUUGGAGAGCUGUGCACGUGGGGAAGAGACCUUUGUGGUGCCCUACACAGACACUGCAGUCUUGUUAAAUAUGAUGCUUAAGCAAGGAAGGAAACACAAUUAAUGGGAACAAGUACAUUUAUGACAUGAACAGCAAAUAUUGGCCAGCUUUCUUCUGAAAGGAUUAACCUGGCUUUCACUGUACACUGCAUUUUUACUUAGAAAAGUGACAGUUCUCCAGUGAUUUUUCAUGCAGAUUUUUUUGACUGAACUUUAGCAAGAAGAGAAAAGGAAUGAGGAGUUUGUAUUCUCUAUCUCUUAGGUAAUGGUAGGAAGAAAGGUACUUUAAAGGCUACUUUGAUACUUGUGAAAUGGAAAUGUUUAAAAACAACUGCACAUUAUUUUAAAGAAAUAUUUUGUAAGCAUUUAUAGAAGGGACAAUUUUCCUCAGAUUCUGAGCUAUGGUCUUUUAGGGAGAAGGAAAGAGAAUAAAAAAGGAUUAAAAAUUUGGUUACAAACUAUUUUUAGUGGAGUAAUUUCUGAUAAUUAAGGAAAGUAAUUUAAUUUCAAACUCGAGUCUCAUCAAUCAGAAAAUCUGAGACUCCCAUUACUCACUGUGACUUUUCCAGCAGCAGAGCCAUUGUUUCACUCCCUAAACCGACUGUUACAAGCACAGUGUGCUGCAUCCUAAACUUUGUUAGGAAGCAUCACAGAAAAUACCAUUCCUGUCCUGCUGAAAAGCAGAGAUGCUCAGCACACUCAGGAGUGACUCAUCCUAACAGUGACAGGAGUGGGAAGUAAAAACUGGGGGAAUUUAACUGAAUUUGAUGCUCUCAUAUCUUGCAAUACAACUGAAUCUUGUCUGGAGAAUAUCAUCAUCAUCUCCUGCUAGGGAAGGAGGUUGAUAUUCUUCUAAUUUUCCCUUUUUUUCCUGUAGUCUACAGUCAGAAAAGCUGCAGAACUUGUUGGAUUUAAAACAGUCUGGAUGUUUUGAUAAAAACACUGCAACGUGAUGACAAAUUCCAUAUAUUAGGUGACAUGUUGAGUUGGAGGUUUUACAGCUAAACACAAACAAACCAAAAAUAAUUUUCAGAUUUUAACUUGUUUCCCUCUUAGAUCCUGCAGAAUAUGGCAUAACUUGUUCUUGACUUCAGUAUAGAGUUAUUUGGGUAUUUAAAGGAAAUAAGUGCCCUACAAAAUGAAUCUUGGUAUACUUUCCACCGAAAUCAGCUGGGUUUGGGCACCCAAAGAAGACAGAGUACGCUGCUUGUCGUGGUGAGGUUGUGAACCCAGAGGAAAUGGGCAUGGAGGGCAAUAAACAGCAGUGGUUUCUUCUACAAAUUGUCAGAUGGCUAAAUAAAUGCUUUUAUUAAGUAUUCUAAAAUGUAAGGAUUUUAUUUGUAUGAAUGACUCUUUAAAAAAUGCUUUUUGGAGGUCAUGCACCUUGUUCCUGUUUCCCUUCCAUUUAGGGAGAUCGGGGAAUAACAAGCAGAACCAUUUUGUGGAAUUUCUGGCGAUCCCAGAACCACCCUUACAGGACAAUUUAAAACAAAGAUGGCAAUGCACAGAGGCUGAUUAUAAGUUGUUAAAUUAGCUGGUACUUAGAGCAGUGCAGCCAUGGCAACCAGGAAUGGAGUGGACACCAAGCCCCUGAACUUGGGCAGGGUUUGUGGCCUGCAUUGACUCUGGUGCUGCCAUAGCAACGCUCCCCUCUGCAGAAAAGACAGAGGAUUUAAAGCCAACAGCAGCAAGCCUCCAUAAAUUACAACUUUGAAUUUUGUAAUAAGCACACUCUUAAAGAUGGUGGGUGUCCAGCAGCCAGGAGAAGGAGGCAGAUCUUUCUAGUUGGCUGCAGCAUCCAGAAGAUGUUUAUUGUGAUAAAGGAACUUAGCUGGUGUAGGUGUGCAUGGAGGAGGUUUUGUCCAGACUACAUACACAUUCCAGUUUUGAUGAUGAAUACUGCUUUUUGCUUGAUGAAAAUCACUCUCAGAUUGGUUGUUCUCCUUGGAUAGAUUGUAUUGAAUAUACUGACUUGGCAGCACUAUUUUGUGACGAGGUAAAUAUACCAGAAAACCUCAGGCUACAGUUCUGCACUUGUAAACUCAGGUGUUCAUAUAUGUUUUGAAGAAUAAUAGGUUAAAAUGCAGUUUAAGGAAAGUAAGAAAGUUUGGUUCUGUAAAUAAAAAUCCCAAGGCAUAAGACUGAUUUCUAUGUCCUGGAGUUCAUGAAGCAACACAAUUUUGUCUGAAACAGACCUGUAUUUCUUGUUAACCUGCUCAAAAUCUCAUAACCAUUUCAAGCAAAAAUGAUGUGACUGACGCAGAGAAUAGCUGCAAAUGAAACAAUUUCGUUGCAUUUUUAGUUCACAGGUUAUAAAAAUUGAAAUGUGGGGUUUUUUGAGGUUUUCCUAAUCUCACCUGGUAUAUUGAUUUCAUUCACAAUCAGGUGGGGAUGUGCCAACAGCAGCCACCCCAUUCCCCCUCUGGAGCCCUCUGGUCUAGCAGGGAGUGAUUCUCGGGGCCUCUCAGCACUGACAGCUUGUUGGAGUUCAGAGUUUGUCAGGAUUUUCUUUUCACAGUAUAUCCCACCUUCUGUGCUAAUGCAUUCCUGGGGACAUUCCAGAGUAUUUAACUCUGAGUAGAAUACAACAUUGAGUACCUUAUGCUAAUUUUUUUCCACCGUGCUCACUAAAUUGCAAGUGCUUGAAGGUUGGCCUUUAUCAUGAGGGUUCUAGGACAGAAAGCUAUUUUAUGAUUAACAAGUUUUGAUUUAUGUUAUUGAAGCAAAGACUAAAAUAAUAAAACUUAAGUAUAUCACACCUGAUAGUUGUUCAUUAUUAAUGUAUGAAUGACCAGCUAGGAAAGUAAGUGGCAUUUAAAAAUAAAGUUAUGUUCUGAGAAGUUAAUUAAAAUCCUGUUGAAUCUAAUUGAAGGAAAAAAGUAAUAUGAAACUCUGUGUUAAGAACUAUUAUGAAGUUUAGAGUAAUGUGUGAUCCUGGAGGCCUGAGGGGCAAAUUUACAAUUAAAAACUAAAUUAGAAUAAUUAGGUUUUUAUUAUGCCAAAUAAUAUGUCAGAGUUUAAAAAUUAUCAUCUGCUGCUCCAUGCCAAGGAUGGAAAUGGUUAAGUACCAAGGAAUAUGAAAGGAUAUUUUUUUUCUUUCAGCUUUCCUUUCUGUCCUAUGGAAAUAUUUUUUUUCCAUGAUGUCUCUACUAUGCACAUUUUAUUGUUACUUAUUGCUCAGCAAUGUCCUUGUGCUGCUUCUAACCCUGCUUCUCUGUACUGUGCAGUCUUGUCAUUUGUACAGAGCACAAGAUGUGGAAUCUUUUAAUCUGUGCUCUUUUAGAAAUGUUGUUAAAUGUAUUGAGUAUACACAUCACAUAUUUAAUUUGAAGUGGUGGCAAGAACACACUAUUUUGUAGGUACUAAGGGAGAAAAAUUAAACCUGCAUGUUGUAGAUGAUCUCUAUUGUUUUGUACAAGUAUAGUUUUAAAAAUGUUUCCACUUCUAGUCUUUGUUCAGAUAUCCCACAUUGUCAU